GUGAAUGCAACCCGGUUAACCCCCCCCCCGGUUAACCAACACCCCCCGCCCUCCCCUACUCUCCGGCACGGCUCGGCACGGAACGGGAGCCACCGGACUUGAGCCGGGGGGCGCACACCGUGCGCUUUGCCCUGGUUUCUGAGGGUGUCUGGUUGUCCUGUGGGGUUCCUGUGCAUCCACAACUGCACCGCCUGUGGCUGAGAGCUGUGCUUGUUCCAGCUGUUUUCCUUUCCCAUUCCAGCAGAGAAACAGGGUUGUGCUCCUUGAGCACAUUGCAGAUGACGGAGGUUGGAUGAAGCCAGGUCUGGCUGAUGACGUUCCCAUCUUGUUACCCUGACACCGAGCAGCCCAGCAGACGGAUCUGGACGGGAAGGAAGGCCGGCGUCGGAAGUCCAGUGCUGGAAACCCGACAAAUAAUGAGAGCUGGAAGGGAGUCCAGUUCCUCCGGUGAUCCCAAGCAUUGCAGCAGCCAAGUUUAAGUCUUUCUGAGGAGCGUGCCUAAACUAACCCUAUGUGUUCCUCCACGGCAGCCCCUCCUACACAUACUAGGAUGCAUCAGGGCACUCCAGCCCUGGUCCAGAUGUCCCCGUCUCACAAAGGAGGCACCUCUCACUUGACUGUGCCAUGCCUUGCAAAAAUCAUAGCUAAUGGGGGCUGGCAACCCCUUUCCUAGCCCCUCCUGAGCAAUCCACCCCUUCUUCAGCAUUGAGGGAGCCUUGCCUUUAAAGCCAGCAGCCAGCAAUCAUUUCUCACUGACGCUGGCGGGCUAAUGAAGAUGUUUAGAAUGCCUGAAGAUCUCCAUAAUCUGGAGGUUGCAUUAUGGCUUAUUUUCAAAACUAUGAAAGCAUUGUUUCCCUUUUCCUAGUCUGAAGCUCUCCAGGUUUUUACGCACAUCACAGCGUUUAAAAAUAAAAUGAGUGCGUCGCUGUUUGCCAGCAAGCGCUUUAUGGAGUCAGUGUUUCAAAGCAGGAGCCUACUUGUGCGUACAUGAAAGAAGUAUGUGUGCGAAAUCUGCAUGUGCACCUACCUGAGUCACAUGUCAGCGAGGCGAACUGAGAAAAUGUUCCCACAGCUGGGGAGUGAUGGGGCAGGCUGUAAACGAGCACGUUUCCAUUUGGCAUGUACAGCCCUGGCACAAGGGAGCACAGACGCGGGUGCCAGGAAGCAUUCAGGUUUUGUGUGCACACAGAUCUGGGGCUAGCUCUUGCUCCUGUGAAAAUAACUUUAAAAGGGGCAGUAUCAAGCCCAGAAACAUAAAAAUGUUUGCCUUGGCUUUGAGCAAUUUUGUGAAAGAACUAAAACCAACAAACUAAAAAUAAAGGUUCGUAACUACAGUGUUGACACUGUAGCAAAGCAGAGGUUUUCCUUUCUUCAUGUCCUGCACUUGCUCUGCAGAUCUCCAUCCAUGCAUUAGCUUAUUAACACUUUUUGCUCCAAGUUUCUUUCAUUCCGUCACUUUGCAGUUUCUUAAUUUAGUUGUUACAUCUUGCAUACCAAUCUCCCCCUACUCCUAAAGCUGAGCCGGAGAUGUUUUAAAUGCCAGGAUCAGAGGUUUGCAUUGCAGUUAGUUCAUGAACGUGUAAUAAAAAAUGGGGAGAAGAGGUGAUGGAGCUCCAGAUCUCAUCCGACACGUCUCGGCUACAUUUUGGUUUUCAUCAGAAACAGGUUAAUCUGGUUGGGUGUCAAAGCAAACAAAGCAUUUUUACCACCUUGUUCUUUCCUGUUCUUAACCUAUUUUUUGAACGUGACUGGGGUUUAACACGCUGGGUGUCACAUCCACAUGGCUCUGACCCCACAGCCCAAAGGCUUUGUGCUCAUGCUGUACAGU